CCAAUGCUCACCAAGACAAAAAGGCCACGGGCACUCAGCCCCAGAAAGCUCUCGGGAAUGCUCCUACACUUCCUAGGGAAGGAGAAGGUAGCUCUGAGCAGUGGCCAUCAGCCUCAGGGAUUUUUCAGCACCUCUAAUUCUGACAAGCCUAGUGCUGGGUGCACUCUGCUUGGCUGACAUCACAGGGAUCACCCAUUCCCCAGGGCUGGGUCAUCAGAUCCUAUUGGGGCAUGUCAGGAGUCACAUGAGAUGGGAGAGGGAGUGAAAAACACCAAACCAAAGAACAUGAAAUAAUUUCUAAACAUUUUUAUUUCAAAUCUCUUUUCACCCCUCCCCAAAAAGACAUGGGUAGGUACAGCAAUCAUAAAAAGGAGAUACAAACACAAGAGUCAAAUGUCUCUCGCACUGACACUUACAAAAAACUGGGAAUUGUACAUGGGGUUUCCAAACAGGACCUGCAGCAGCUACUAACGUCCCUUUACGAGAGUCAAACAUGCCUAUUAAUACAGUAUAUACAGACACCCCAUUCUGGAACUAAUCUACAGGGACAUCCCUAACCCCACCCCCUCUAUCCCCAGAAAAAUACCAAAACACACCCAAAGUGCAUUUGUUUUGUUUAUAUCAAAACCUCUUUCCCUUUCCCCAUCCCACCCUCAGACCCCUCCCACCCCAUUUAAGAUUGGCCUGCAAGUCUAUUUUAACCAUUUAGUAUUUUUUUAUAGUUUAUGAAAAUAAAUUAUACAGCAACUAUUUUAAUAAAUUAAGCACAAAAGGAAGGGUAAAAGAGGAAAACUAAAUGGGAAGACAAAAGCCAGGCCACGCUUUGGCUUGGAGGAGGGCAGAGGGGGGGCUAACGGAGACAGAAGUGGUUGCAAGGGGUGGCUCCCUUUCUGGUGAAAAAUUGGCAACCACCCCGAGCCCAGAAUGACACCCCUCUUCAUCGAGUUUCUUAAAAACAACCAAAAACGUACAGCAGUGGCUAUGCCACAGGCAGCACCAGUGUGGGCAUUCCAACAGCCAGCUACCCAAAGUGGCACCUGGACCCUACCUGUCCCUUGGACAGGUUCUGGGCCUAAGAGUGAGGGACAGGUCCCCGCCCAAGGGAGCACCAGAGAUGGAGGAGUGAGAGCAGGCUUCUGCUCCACCUGAGCUGGUUAGGGAGCUCAGGACGAAACUCUGAGCGGGGCAGUGUGGUAUGUGAUGAUCCCAGAGUCUGAGGAAGAGUGUCCUAAGUUCCUCACACUCUAUCUCCAGGAGGAACUACGAUCGCAGUCCAGCUGCAACCAAACAUGCAUGUCUUCCCGCCGUGGCUGGCUGCUUUCUGUCUGCCCCUCCAGGGAAACAGGAAGAAACUGAGCGACACCUGCCAGGAAGGUCAAGAAGCAAUGAAAAGGACAAAGACAAUAUGAAAUCUGCAUGAAAAGACAGGUCCUUUUCUGGCAGAUUAGAGAAUCAACAUUUUCAGUACAACUCAUAACGCUACUUUCCUAACUGCAGUACCCGAGUCCCCAGCGCCUGUCUCUAUGAUCCAACCCCCAUUUCACUGCUCCCAAGACUUUGCUCUCCAUUUUAUCAAGGCCUCCAAUCAUUUUGUGCUGAGUGUGAAGGCUCCAAUGUGAAAGCAGGGUCUACCACAGGGACGUGCAGACUUGACCUUUGUGACCCAAUCAUUUUAUAGCUAUCGCAGCAUAGGAGGGGGGCACACUUUUCUUUCUUUUUUUUUUCUUUUUCUUUUUUUAAUAAAAAAGGUUUUACUCCCCAGGAGCAAAUAAAUCAUUUUGAACUACUGAUAAACACUGCUGCAGUGAAAAGAAAGAUGGCUACAUGUAUGCAAUAGCACAAAUUCAGUGGAAGAACAGCUGUGUUGACGAUUAGAGAUAAAAAUCACUUAUCCAUUCCCUCCUUUCCCACAAACCAAACCGAGGAUUCCCAUAGGGAAAAUGUCUAACUCAAUAGCUCCUCCCUUACAUGACAGGGGGUGUGUCAUUCUCUUAACAGUGGAAAACAAAUGCCAGGUCUCCGCCCAGUGGAGAUGCUCUUAACACCCUAACUGGUAGCAAGACUUCUGCAAAUGAGGACACACACACACACACACAUGCAUGCAUAUGCACACACACAGACUCAGACCUCCUUCCAGCAGCCAUAGAGCUUUAUCCCAGUGUCUUGUCCACUAACUUUAGGGCUCCAAAGCUAAGGGAGCGAGGCAGCAGGGAAGGGAAAGAUCUAACUGAAGGAAAAAGCUCCUCCUCGCCCCAGUUUCUGCAGGGAGCAGAGGGCUUCAAGCAGGCCAUGCUUUCCUGGGGGCCCUGGGGUGAGGGCUGACACGGCUGGAUUCCAGGGCACUUCUGGUUCUACUCCCACCUCUCACCCCUAGACCUAGGAACUAUAAUUACCCCCACUCCCUAAUUCUUCCUGGAUGUCUGUUACAGGGGUGUCUGCAGCUAUCUCCACACCAUCCCCAACCUCAAGGGGGGCUUACAUCAUUAGCCCAAGUGAAAUGUAGGGAAGGGGAAGGAGCAGGAGCCAUGCAGGAGUUUCCUUUGGCCACACCUUUCUCCUCAGGGAGGUGGCGCCACCUCCAUGGCUCAGGUUCCAAGAUGUAACAUUCACUUGGCCUAGGCACAGGCAGGUGACCAGGCAAAGGUCAGCACCAAUGGUCCCAAAGAGCCGGUUGCCACCCACUUACCUAGUGCCCACACCAAAACCCCCGCCCGCCUACUCCUGUGCUACCAACAUAGCACACGAAUUUCAAGUAACAGCAAGUUGUAGCAGUAGUUGUCACUGGCUCACAGCAGCUCACUCUCAACCUGAGGAAGGUUACAGUAGAUCAGUCAUAAACAGGUGAGGGUUAUGCAGGCACUGAGGCCACUGAUAUCACCCACCCACAACUUAGGAAUCAACAGUGGGUCCCUAGAUGUAAGCCUUUUCCAAUUUGUGACUUGAAAAUACAACCAGAAAGAAAUUAUUUAUUUUUUUUGAGAUGGAGUCUCACUCUGUCGUCUAGGCUAGAGGGCAGUGGCGCAAUCUCGGCUCAGUGCAACCUCCGCCUCCUGGGUUCAAGCAAUUCUCCUGUCUCAGCCUCCCAAGUAGCUGGGACUACAGGCGCAUGCCACCAUGCCCAGCUAAUUUUUGUAUUUUAGUAGAGAUAGGGUUUCACUGUUUGGCCAAGCUGGUCUUGAACUCCCGACCUCAUGAUCCACCCACCUCAGCCUCCCAAAGUGCUGGGAUUACAGGCGUGAGCCACCGCGCCCAGACCUAGAAAGGAAUACAUUUAAAUGAGCUCUGCACAGCACUGGCGAAGGAGGGACGGGCCUGGUCAGGGAGGUGAAGGGCAGGUGCUGCCACACCUGCUCCUCUGCUCCAUUUACUCUCUGACCAGGCUGUAUCCCAGAGAGCUGGCCCAGCCCCAUGCCUCCCCCUCAUCUUCCCCUAACUGCUCUGUGCAAGGCCACCCAUGAGGAGAAAGGUGGGUGGUGAGGUUGGGUCACACCUCCUCAGUUGGUUUGUUUUGUACCUGAAUGUAUGAGUUCUCCAGAAGAAACCCCAGUAACACAGGGGGUGCAGAGGCUCUGCCUCCCUCACAUGGCCUGAGCUGACCAUAGUGAGGCCCUGGCAAUGGGCAGGAGCCUUGCUGACUCCUUUGGGCUUUGGGCUCCACCUCACCAUCAUAACCCCUUGGCACUCAGGUCUGCCUGGUGGCUGGGAAGCUUCCAUCUAGAAAACCGCACUGGAAAGGAUUCUUUAACCAUGUUGCUCUAACAGGGCUGUGCACUGUUCAGUACAUGCCAUGCAGAUUUCUGCUUCCUUGCUUUUGCUCAUGUGUUUUUCAUCUCACUGUCUGUCCUGCCAUUGACUACAACCCAAAGCCUCAGAGGCACAGAACUUUCCCAGACCAUCUGGUCUACCCUGAUCUUAUCUACUAUAAACGUCUUUAGAUAGUCCUUGAUUUUCUGCUUGAUGUGCAGCAGUCACCUAAAAGCUCCCUUAGGCCACAUAUUACGUCUUUUACCUUUUUUGUUUUCUACAAUAUCUAGCGCAAAGCCAGGCACACACACACUAAAAAAUAAUAUUAAAAUUAUGGGUGGUUGAAAAGGAACAAAAAAAAGAAAGAUCCCAGGCUGUAUAUCAGCCACCCAAGGAUCUCAACAGAUUCCAACUUCAGGCUCUAUAUUGGGGUGGCACUUCCUGCAAGAUGGCGAGUUAUAUUACUUGUACUCUCACGAGGCAACACUCACAUGCUAAGCCAAUUUCUGGGAUCACAAUCUUGCUUAGUUGAUAAUACUACCAUGGAAGCCAAGGAAAGAAGAGGUACCACAUGACAAAUCAGAGGUGGGCUGUGUUUAUGGUGCACAGCUCAUCUUGUGGGCCACCCUUCCACAGUCAGGUAAUGGUGCAAGUUUCCUCCCUGUUCAGCUACAAGGAGGAAGACUGGUCACUCCACGUGGGACUAAGGAAGAAGGCAAUGCUCCCAGAUGAGGCAGUCCUAUAAAUUACCAGGACACUGGGGCCCCACCCAAACCAUCAGGAAGCCACAAACCUGACAUUAGUAUCUGUCUUGUGACACGAGGCAACUAUAAGCAUGGGGAACCCAGAAAGAGAGUCCCAUGGAACACACGCAAAGGAGUCAUGAAGACCCAACAGCUCCACUGUUACAUCUCAAUAGCAAACCUCUCCCCAGAGCAGCUCUAUAAGAAAGCAAACUCACAAUGUCAUAUGAAUUGGCCAUGGCCAGCUGCAGAAACCAUUAAAGACCAUUGGAGUUUUUCUCCCCGCUCCUCCUGAAAGCAGGGACAGGCAGCUCUCAAAUCGGCAUCUGGCAGACUUUCCAGUGAGUGGAGACCAGCAGGAUCUGAUCCGGAAAUGUCUGGGUUGCUAGAAUGAACACAAGAAAAUACAGAAGCCCUUGCUACCUCCCAUCCCAGAAGUGGGAUGGCAGUGAUAAACCUAAAAACGUGAGAUGCGAUGCUCUCCUCUGACCUAAGGAAAUCCCGUGAGGGCUGCGUUCUGAGAGCUUCCUCUAGGAAGAGCACAACUGUGGGAGCUGUAUUUCUCACCUUCCUCCACAUUCCCCCUCACAAGCUGACAGGCACAUGGAAGUAACACUCACUCCUAAGUCAUGAGUACAGUUUGCCAUGAAGAACCUGGAAACAUGCUCCAUUAAAUUCAGCAGCCCAUGACUGGCUCUGAACCGCCCAGGUGAUGGGAAACACGAUUGCCAUGACAGCUGGCAGAAGCAAUAGGGAUGCUGUUACCAUGAUCAGAGUGACAUGUACAGUUAUCUCAAGGGGCAAUGGGUUGAGAGCAGAGGAAGAACGGGGUUAACUUCAGGUCAUGGAACUUAAGGAAUUAAGUAAAUCACAACUAGUACAGCUUCCAUGAGAGGUGUUUCUGAACUCAGGUUCCUAAACCUUAAAAAAGGAUGCAGGAGUCACUACUUCUCCCAGCUAAGGCCAAUUGGCUAGGUUUUGCCCAAUAUUCUUUUCGAGACCACCCACCCUCCUUUCUCUCCUGCUCCUACAACAGCUGCCCAUGGCAACAAGAGGCAGAUUCCCCCUUCCUCAGGAACUCCCAGUCCUUUGCAAACCUCAAGCCCCUCCUCCCAUCUUCCAGGCCCACAGCACAGACUCUAACUCUGCCUUUGGCACCAGCUGAAUGGCCGUCCCCUGUUCCCUCCUCCCACCCCUUCUUUGGACCUGCUCACCCUUCGCACCACUUUCAAUCCAACGGGCACAAACCCCAACUGCCUUCAAGCUUAAUUUGGUUCUUCAAAGCUGGAGCUUGGCAACCAAAUGCCUAGGUAGAAAAGGAAAAAAAAUUAAAACAGUUCAACAGAAUAGAACCAAAAUGGAGUGAAAUAACAGCCAGCCACUGGAGGUGGAGCAGCACACCUCAAAAGGAGAACGGAGCCUGGAGAGCUGAACGCUUCCAUGAGGGCCACAUGUGACUAGGGAUGCAGCAGUGGCCUUUGUCAGGGGGACCUGAGCAGCCUAUGACUUGGAUGACAAAACAAGGUCCUGAAAUAACUAAUAAAUACAUCCUACCACAUUGCAUAAAUUCUCUCUUUCCCUUUCCCUUACCCCUUCAUUUCCUACCCAUUUUUUCCCUGAGGCUCAAUUGCUCUAGGGACUGAAAAGGGAAGUAAGCCCCUGGAGUAACCCCUUUUGAACCUGGCAAGAAAGAGCUCUAUAUUUCUUUCUUUCUUUUUUUUUUUUUUUUUUGAGACGGAGUCUCGCUCUGUCACCCAGGCUGGAGUGCAAAGGCAUGAUCUUGGCUCACUGCAAUCUCCACUUCCUGGGUUCA
rnacentral:lncRNA from 10 species